rnacentral:lncRNA from 1 species
UUGACAAUCCCUGCGAUGAAAGAAAAGACAGUUGAAUUUAUCAACUACUCAAAAAUUAAAACUUCACUUCUCAAAUGGGGCAAGAAGUCAACUGACAAAUCUGGGUAGGUUCUGCAAGAUAUUAAAGAGAAGCUUAAUAUCCUCUCUGUUCUUGCAAUUUUCAAUCAUCGACCACGCCCAUGCGUUUGGAGCCAUUGUUCUUUUCGUGUUAACAGACUCAAGAAUUUUGUCAUACAACUCCUUCACGGUCUCUGCAUAAUAUGACAAGAACCAAAUAUCAGAGAAAGAACUACACAAUAUGUCAAGACACAAAUUAGAUGGGAAAAAGGAAAAAACCUGUGGAUUCCUCCUUUUCGGCACUUGCUUCGGAAGAAUACUGUAAACUCGAAAUUAUCAAAUAAGAGGCUGCAGGCAAUCUAUUACCAUGAACCGGCCCUGUGAAUUCCAACGACAAUCACAUCAAAACCUUUCACUGCCAAGAGAAAUGCAGCUCCGUUUUGUAUCAACAAACUAAUUCAACUUGGAACCGACAUUUAAGAACAUGAAGCAACUCGACUCGAAGAAACAAUUCGACGUGAUUAAUCCUAUUACAGAAUCACGUCUCCAACAUCAAAUCCACAAAAGCAAACACGAUGAACACAAUAAAAAUACGAAAUCUCAAUUAAACAAGCACAAUCCUGAUAGCAUAAUCAUCCCUCCGCUUCAACUUGACUAAACCAGGUGCACAUCCCUCGAAUGAGUUACUCAGAAUUUUUCAUCAAUCAUCCCCCCCAACCCACAUAUCCAGACAUCAAACUCAACCUAAGAAAAGCCCCCGCUAACAAAGAACCAUCGCUUCGGCAUCUAUACAUUCCACGUCGAGAUCCCUCGGUUUCGCAGGUAGCGCGCUUCUCGUCCGCUAACAAAGAACCAUCGCUCAGCGAGUGGCGUUGAGGGCAGCUGGGGCUUCGGUGGAGGCUCGGCGAGGGGCGUCGGGGGUGAUUGGGUGAGCGGCGUCGAGGGCAGCUGGGCGAGCGGCUUCGGGGACGACUGGGCGAGCGCCUUCGGGGACGACUGGAGUCCAGCGGCGGGACGACCAGCGUCUGGCUGCGGCUGAGCAGCGAGACGAGCGAGGGGUGACGGUGUCGAGGGAGGCAAGGGCGAGGCGAGCGCAGGGCCGCUGGACGCCGGCGGUGGCGUCUGACGGCGGCGUCGAGGGUUAGCGGCGUCCGGCGGUGGCGUCUGACGGCGGCGUCGAGGGCGAGCAACGUCCGGCGGCGUCGAGGAGGGCGAGCAGCGUCGGCGAUGGACGAGGCAGAGAACGGGAGAGAAGUGAAGUAGGGUAAUUGAUUUGGGGCUUAAAAUCCGGUUCCGGUUCCGCGAUCGGUUCCGGUUCCGGUUCCGGAACCGGUCCUUUAAGAACCGGGAACCGAACCGGAACCUCCGGUUCGGUUCUCCGGUUCCCGGUUCUACCCGGGAACCGCGCUCAC